rnacentral:rRNA from 1 species
AAACCAGCACCUCAAGUGGUCAGGAUGAUUAUUGGGCCUAAAGCAUCCGUAGCCUGCUCUGUAAGUUUUCGGUUAAAUCUGUACGCUUAACGUACAGGCUGCCGGAAAUACUGCAGAGCUAGGGAGUGGGAGAGGUAGACGGUACUCGGGAGGAAGUGGUAAAAUGCUUUGAUCUCUCGAUGACCACCUGUGGCGAAGGCGGUCUACCAGAACACGUCCGACGGUGAGGGAUGAAAGCUGGGGGAGCAAACCGGAUUAGAAACCCCGGUAGUCC